rnacentral:rRNA from 1 species
GACGAACGCUGGCGGCGUGCUUAACACAUGCAAGUCGAACGGAAAGGCCCUGCUUUUGUGGGGUGCUCGAGUGGCGAACGGGUGAGUAACACGUGAGUAACCUGCCCUUGACUUUGGGAUAACUUCAGGAAACUGGGGCUAAUACCGGAUAGGAGCUCCUGCUGCAUGGUGGGGGUUGGAAAGUUUCGGCGGUUGGGGAUGGACUCGCGGCUUAUCAGCUUGUUGGUGGGGUAGUGGCUUACCAAGGCUUUGACGGGUAGCCGGCCUGAGUGGGUGACCGGCCACAUUGGGACUGGGAUACGGCCCAGACUCCUACGGGAGGCAGAAGUGGGGAAUAUUGCACAAUGGGCGGAAGCCGGAUGCAGCAACGCCGCGUGCGGGAUGACGGCCUUCGGGUUGUAAACCGCUUUCGCCUGUGACGAAGCGUGAGUGACGGUAAUGGGUAAAGAAGCACCGGCUAACUACGUG